rnacentral:rRNA from 1 species
UACGAGGGGGGCAAAUGUUGUUCGGAAUCACUGGGCGUAAAGGGAGCGUAGGCGGGCUUCUAAGUUAGAUGUUUAAUCCCGGGGCCCAACCCCGGACAGGCACCUAAAACUGGAAGUCUUGAAUAGGUGGAGAGGACGGCGGAAUUGGGGGUGUAGCGGUGGAAUGCGUAGAGAUCCCCAAGAACACCAGUUGCGAAGGCGGCCAGCUAGACCGAGUUCUGACACUGAGGCGCGACAGCGUGGGGAGCAAACAGG